GAGGUUGGGCGGUUGGGCCGUUGGGGACAGUAGGCGUGGCCUCGCGCUUGGCAGCUGGGAUGCGCAGGGCACAGCGGCGGCAUCAGGAGAACAAAGCAGUCCACGUCCUGGUGAGCUGCAGCUCCUCGGGCUCUUCCAGGCGGGAGAAGCGGCCUCUGCGGAGCAGGAGAGGGCGCCGAGUAUGGCAGACAUGUGAGAGGCCUGUGCCGGCAAGGGGAGUCCCAAGGCCUGACCAGAGCAAAAGAUCCCAGUCACCAGAGGGGUGGUGAGCCCCACUCCCUCUGCCACAGGGCUGCAGGGCUGAGCAGCCGUCCGUCCUCCGGGGAGGCCGGGUGCAGAGAGCACAGAUUCGGAAAUGGACAGAACUUCCAUGAGAGGAGGCAGCAACCAUGUCUACCUCCGUGGAGAAUUCUAUGACUCUCACCAGUUGGAGGCUGAGCGAGCCGGUGCAGCCCCAGGCUGUGUUGUGCCGCAGGGAAGCAAUUUCAAGACUUAGGUUUCUGGGAGGCGCAUUCCGAGAGGCCGUGCAGCCCAGCCUGACUUCCUGACCUGCGUGCUUGUGGCAGUGCGCAGGCGCUUUGGGCGCAGCCGCGUGGAGCUCUGCGACGCAUGGGAAGGACCUCGAUGGUGCUUUCUCUGCAGGACUUGUACAGGAGGGGAAAGGGAAGGGUAUUUCCUGGAAACUUCUCGAGAAUGACACUUGCAGCAAUAGUCCAGAUCUUCUGCCUAGCUGGCCGAUGUGAUAGGAACUUCCUGUCCUUCCGCUUGCCACUAGUUGCAGAGUAGAGGAGACAAGGACCUCCUAUUGCUUCAAGUUUCAUUCCCGCCUUAAAUGGCUGAGACUGCUGGCUUCCUUGCUUCCUCCUUGAAGGGGUGAUUUUCAGAUCUCAGAGGUCGCAAGAGGGACAUUGGCCACACUAGGAAUCUGGAUCCUGGGGACAGAUGGCUAAAGUAAAGCCCUCUUCGCACCCCCAAAUAUCCUGAUGGAUUGUGUGUCCAAGGCCCUAGGGACCCACCAGCCCCCUGUAAUAAUUUUCCUGGUCUCUGCUGUCUGGUGGAAUUGUAAUCUAGGACUUGUAACCCGACAGUCGUCACGCUGCCCUGUGGGAGAGCUGGGGCAGAAGCCAGCUUCCCUUUCGGACAGAAGCAGACAACUGUGAGGUCUCCAGGGAGGGAAGCUCUAGGUUCAGGGAGCGUCAGUCUCCCCCCAGGCAUGCUUCUAGAGGUUGGUGUUUUUGACUGUCCUCCGUGGCAGGUUACAGACCUUCCUGUUUUUUCCAACCACUUCCUUUCUGUGGUCCUAAGAUGAACGGUGCCCUUGGUUGUGUCCUCAGGGUCUGUUAGCAGGGGACCCAGGACACUGCCACUGUAUGGCAGAGCUCAGGCACAAGCCACGCACGGGCUUUUGAAAAGCAGCUCAGUAGAGGUGUAAUUGGCCUCCAGCAAACUGCACACGGAGUGUGCAAGUACCUUCUGCUAUUGUCACGCCCUGCCAGCCGCCAGCUUGCCUGUCCCCAGGAAACGGCCUUGUGGCGAAGGGUCUCUUCGCUUUCCGCUUUCACUACCUAACACACUGGAUCCAAAGCAGACGAAAGUCAAAAAGCACCCCAGCCAAGGAACUGGGGUGGUGUGACCUUGACUGUCACACAGUUAUUGAGUGACUUUCCUUCUGAACCUAGAUGUGAAAAUCCUCCUCCAAUGGCUGAUUCAGCAAUUACGCAAAAGACAAAUGAAAAUGUAUGACCACCCCAUAGACUGUGGUUCUCCGCAGUGUUACAUUUUUUCUCUAAACCUUUGUCUAGGUUUCCUUCCAACUUACCUGUAACUGUAAAUUGGUUGAUUUUUCUCAUUUCCUCCUGGCAUUGCAAGCAGGCUGUUUGCUCCUGACCUCCUGCCAGAAGAUGUGCUCUGGGUAAAGAAAAGGUGCUAGUCGGGAGACGUGCUGCAUUUCAAAGCAAAAGUGGCCUUCACUUGCCAUUUUCCCAGCCCUUAGAAUGGGCUCAGAGCCCUAGCAUGGGGAAACCAAGUGUGGCUCACCCCGGGCAAAGCUGAUCAGAAAGACAAAGCCAAGCCUGGAGGAGGAGGACUGACACUCGGGUGCUCUUAUGGGGUGCUCUUAUCGGGUGCUCUUAUCUGCUUCGUAUCCUCCACACAGCUGUCCCAAACCUCACAGUGGGUGAGGAUUAGGAAUGAAACUUGAUUUCAUGUAGAAGACCCAUUUGUCAAGUACUUGUCACUUGGGUGCCAGCCUAGCACCAGGAUUGGAUGUUGAAGUUAAAAUGGUGAAUUAAAGUAGAUAAGCCAA